rnacentral:misc_RNA from 1 species
UCGCACCCGCUGCGACCGCUCGAGACCGCUUGCUAUGGACCACGCGCACUGCUAGACUGCCUCUUAGACCGGUCUACGCCGCGCCACAGCCUGCCAUCGCAUCCGGUUCGGAUUGGGCUGUAUGGUGUUGGAGGACAGAGCUUGGGCGGUGGGCCUACGAGGACAUGCUGGAAUGCGCACCUUCGCUUCAUUCGC